rnacentral:lncRNA from 1 species
ACAUCCUAGGACACUUUGAAAUCUUAAGCUUUGAUAUCAAGUUUGUCACGCCCCAAAUUCAUGGGACAUGACCGGCACUCGACCGGUAUCCCUAGUCAAGUGGACCUGGGUGCCUUUCCUAUAACACGUGUUACCCCCGCAUUUCCAUUACUCAUUAAUCAAAGAAAUUUGCCAUUUAUAAUUGAAAAACCCUUUUUACAAACAUACAUACACUUAAUGAGGUUUACAACUUACAUCGCCCAAUUUAUAAAAUACAUAUUUACACAAGUUUGCAACCCACAUUUACUGUCUACGGAGCCUCUAAGGAUACAGAAGGAUGAUACAAUACUUGCCAGUAACAACGCUCUAGCUACAUCUUUCACAACAAAAUCAAAACAACAUUUCCAAAUUAAAAAGCAUCAUGAGCCACGCAAAGCCCCGAGAGGAAAACGGUAACAAGGCUCCGGCUAUACCUUUCACAACAAAGAUAAAACAAUAUUUCCAAAUUAAAAAGUAGCAUGAGCCACGCAAAGGCCAGAGAGGAAAGGGGCUCACCAAUACAUCUGAUGAAAAGUGGAGGGAAGCUACGGUCCGUGGACUGGAGUAUCUGCUAUUGAUCCACCUACAUUCGUAACACGAAUGUAGCGCCCCCGGCAAAAGGGAUGUCAGCCACAUCUGCAUUGUAUUGGAAUGUAUGAACAAACACAAGUAGCAAGCAAUAAUAGAAUCAACAAUUGAAUACACGUCUAAGGAACAAUCAAGCCAAACAAGUUACCAUCUCUCCUUCUUCCUCUUCAACAUUAUCUUAUCAAUGAUUUCACAAUUUUUCUCAGUAAUAGAGACAACAAUCAAAUACACAUGAAAGGUACAAUCAAGCCAAACAAGUUUACAAUCUCUCCUUUUUCCCUACAACAUUUUCACAUCAAUAAUUUCACAAUUGUUUUCAUAAUUUUAUUUCAAUAGUGAUCACCUCGGUCACCCUUAUCACCACAACCCAAACCUUAUUUCUCCGUGUUGCGGCGCACAACCCUCCCCCCUCCCCCCUCCCCGUACAGUUUCCAAUUUUUCAUUAUUACCUCGUCCACCCUUAUUACCUCGGCCACCCUUAUCCCCAAAACCCAAACCUUAUUUCUCCAUGUUGCGGCACGCAACCCGACCCCGCCGUACAGUUUCCAAUUUCCAAACAUCACAAUAACAACAAUUCACAUAGAACAACAACAAUAAUUCUCAAAGAGAAACCAUAACAAUUCACAAGAAUUUCUAUAGCCAUCAAUACCAUUUCCAUCAUAUUCAACAACUCAUGUGCAAUUUAAGUCACCACAAUAAUUAUCCACAACAAGCCAAAUAUGUUAUUACCACAGCUGUUCCAAUUGAAUACUUUAUGACUUCCUUCCAUCAUUUGUUUCUCAUCUCUUACCACAUAACACUUUCUCAAUCAAACAUUUAGUUUAUUGCCAAUUACUUGCACCAUUAUACCUAAACACUCGAAUCAAACCAAUAACAAGAAUUUCACAAAUAGUCCACAUAGGUACCACAUACCAAAUAGUUGUACACCAAACAAGGGACUCUACAAAGGUCAAAGUUAGCCAUACAUACCUCGAUUGAGCUUUCCUUAAGUUACUACAACGUUCCGAAAAUUCUAACAAUUCUAAUCUACUAUGACACAUAACAAAAUUAAUCACAUAUUAGAAAGAUAUUCAUAAUUCUAUCUCAUUUGAGCAUUUUAUCAAACACUAGGUGAGCAUCUUGAUUAUCAAUUCUCUUUUACAAGAUUUCCUUCUUUCCCCAACCCAAUCUUUGCCUAUAUAUGUUCAUCAAUCAUCCCACAAUCCUAAUUUGCAUAUACAUGUACAUAUAAUACUAUUAUACCAAGAAUCAUAUCCCGAAAACCUAUCUCAUAAUCUCUACAACACCAACACAACCUAGGUUAGGCACCUAUGACUUUCAAUCAUCAUCCCAAGAGUUCUAAUAUGUAUAUCAUACAUGAAUAAUCACUACAGAGUAGCUAGAGAUGGUAGAUAUUGUAGUAAGAAUCUUGAGAAUCCAAUUUGUAGUGUUCUUGAAUCAAUUUAGGGAUUGAAUAAAAUCUAAGGAUUUUCAAGAUCAAUCCAGGAAAUCCUAUGAAAUCCAAUCAAAAUCAUGUUGUAUCUAGUGAUUGAGAGGUAAAAUCACCAUGAAAACGUACUUCAAAACUUACCUUGGAUCAUAGGGAUGAAGUUGGGACGAAAUCCCCUUGAGAGAGCAAGACCUAACCCCAAAAAUGACUUGGGAACACGGAUUUGGGGUAUUUAGAGGCCCGUAACUAGCGCGGCCGCACACUUGGGCGCGCAUUUGGGCGCGCUAGUGCCCAGUCGUCUUUCUUGGGCAUGCUAGUUUUAGCGCGGGCGCAUCUGGGCACGCUAGUGACAUAUGCCCUGUAAAAUGGUCAGAACGUUCUCUAUGCACAUCCAAAUGAUGUACGGUUUGUUGAGUUGGGACCUAGACUCAAAGAGCUUUAAUUGGAUAGGUUAAUACUCACACAAAUCCUAAAAUAACCUGAGAUAUGAUCGUUCAAAGUGAGGUCAUGCGCACACUAAUUCACAGGUUUUGUCUAAUCUGAAAUUUUCCAACUUGGCUUAGACUUAGGCCUCUCCUUAGACCCCAAUUCACAUAUAAUAUGAAUUAUAUGCUUAUUAACAUAUCCAAUCGAUUUCCAUAAUAUCUUAAAUCCUCAUUUUCACACAAAAUAAAAUAAUUAGUCUACCUUGGCACUACGAAAUCUCAAAUUACUUGAAAAAAAUUUUCUGGGGCCCUACAGAUGGGGUCCAACGUAAUACUUUAUUUUUUAUCUUUCAAUUUUAAGAAAUACAUUGUUCCAAUAUUAGAAUGUAGACCUACGUUUUCAAAAAAUUGUGUAGCAGUCUUAUUCAGUGAAAUUAGUAGAAUGAAAAACUGGAAAUCAAGAGAACAUAGUACGUAGCACCAUGGUGGAUUAAUACAAAAGAUAGUACGUAGUACUUGGGUGGAUUAAAAGAAAAGAUAGUACGUAGCACUUGGGUGGAUUAAUACAAAAGAUAAGAACAAACUAUAUGGAAAAGACUACACUGUCUCAACUUCAACGACUACUUUAAGAGGAACAAUGUAUUUCUUGGACAACAUCACAAGUGCUAAUAAAAUACUACCAACACCAAUACAAAAUAAUUGUAAAUGACUACCAGCACCAACACAAAGUGGUUGCAAAAUACUACUAACAACACCACCAAAGUUUGUACAUAACACUACCAACAUUAACACAAAAAUUAGCUUAGCUAAGUUGUAACAGCCUGACCCGUCGUCCAGUGUAUUUCUGCCCCGUUUUCCCCUUUUUAUACUGAAAUAUAUUUCAAUAUAUGUAUUUGAGAGUUUUGAGUAAUUCGGAUGGAGUUUUGAUAGAAAUGAGACAAUUAGUCUCUUUAAGAGAAAGUUUGUUUGAAAAAGUCAACCGAAAGUUGACUUAUGAGUUAGAGGGUUCGGAAUGGAUUUCCGAUGAUUCGACUAGUUUCAGAUGGUGAUUUGUAACUAAUCCUAUUCUGAACUGAAACACUAGUUAUACUAAUCAGAAACUAACAAUUAACUAAUCAAAGUGUUAAGACAAUAAAUGGCCAUAGAUAAGUAUGAGUAGAUUAACUACCACAAAAUCAGACUAUAUCAAUAUGAAGAUCAAAGCAGUAUUGGAUUGAAGAACUAACAGGAAUAAAAUAUUUCCAAACUACUUUUUACUGAAACAAUCAAUUAACACUAAGCUAAAUCCUAAAGAUUAAACUAAACUUGACAUAAUUCAAACAAGCUAACAAACUGGGAAUUAACUAAGAAUUAUUCUAGCAUUUAAACAAACAUAAAGACGGUUUGACGAUACUUAAACUUGACACUAAACUAGGCUCGAUUGCAUAAACGGAACUACAAAUUAAAUUAAAAAGAAAAUCUAAGAACAGACAGAGAGAGAAACUUACUGAGAAUUAGUCUUCAAACAAAAAUUUUGAAAUUAACAUCAAGUUAACAUUAUAAGUCCAUCUCAUAGGUAUAUUAUCAACCUGAGUUAACUCGUCUUGAAAAAUCAACAAACCAGCCCCGAACAUUGUGAACCCCAGAUUUGGAAUUCGAGCUCAACCAGUGAGAUUUUAGGGGUUUUGGAUAGGGAUUAGGGACAAGGGAGGUUAGGGGAUUAUAUGGUGUGAUUUUUGGUGGAGUUGGACACUUUAUCAUUUUGAAUCGAUUCUUCAAAUUAAUAUUCGAAGCAGUUGACGAUGAUUUGAGGGAAAUGGAACAUAGACUGGGCGUGAAGGGAGUGAGAGGAAAUCAUGGUGUUCAUGGGGCGGGGUUUGGCUACCGGCGCCGCCACCGGCAGCUGAGGAUUUCUGGGGCGGCUCAUUUAGGGUUCUAGAGAGUGGGGUUGUGAAGAGAGGCGAAGUUGGGGGGGGGGUAUGGUCCGACCAUCUUAUACUAAUCAAACCAGGCUUCCAGGCCGUUAGAUUGCCUUACCUCGACGGCCAGGAUUGGAUCGUGAUAAACGGCACCGUUAAGUGGCCUACUGAAUCGGACAGGGUGGGGGCAGGUAUGGGCCUGGGCAAGGGGGUGUAUUGUUUGGGCUGAGGAAAUUUCUU